rnacentral:ncRNA from 1 species
CCGCCUCUUGAUGCGUUGGACUAAUCACCGAUGGCUCACAUCACCUGACGGACAAGUAAAUAUCAGCACAGCGAUCUGAUGAGCAAGAGAGCUGCAAUCGGAAUGGAGAUCACUCCAUUUGGACUGCGGUUAGGUUACUAUUGCCAUUUUUCGCUGUUCA